rnacentral:lncRNA from 10 species
UAGGUCGGUGACUAAACAAGUACUCGCUGCUAUAUUAUCCAGGCCAUUUGCUUGAUCAUUUCCUCUGGUUAAAAGCAAGUAUUUGUUCUUUCAAGUAUUUGUUUUGUUCGGGCUCCAAAAGUUAAAGAGGGAAUAGAGCGACUCAUUAGUCAUUCAGUCAAACAUCCAACAAACAUUUAUUGAGCAUUUACAAUGUACCAUGUUAUUAGAUGCAAGAGAUACAAUGGUGAGGAAAAACAAAUAUUCCCAUGUCUUCAUGAAGCUCAAGACUUAACAGGUAGGAUUAACAUUAACCAGAUAAUCACAUAAAUAAAUGUAAAGUUGCCACUAUGAUGAAUGCUGCCAAUGAAUAGUCUAGUGCUAUCAGGGCAUGCAAGAGGGGAAUCUGGCAUAGUCGAGAUACAGCAAGGCUUCCCUGGAGAAGACACCACUGAAAUCAAGUCUGAAAAGUGAGUAAAAAUUAAUAAAUGAAAGGAAAUUUGAGACUGUCCUAUGUACUCAGAGCAAAAUGUGCCAAAGCCCUGCUGCUGAAGGAGCAUGCAUGUUUGGGGGACUGGUAGGUCAGUGCAGCUGAAGCAGAGAGAGAGAAGACAGGCUAUUAUAAGAUAAGCCUGAAGAGGUAGGAUGAGGUCAACCUUAGAGGACCCUGUACACCACAUUAAGGCCUCAUAUUUUCAGCCAUGUAGGCAAAAUUGGGGCAAACAUACUUUUAAAAGGGAUAAUGGAUCCUUAUAAAAGAAAUUAAGGUCAAUAUAUAUUCAUUGCUACUAUUUUGUGCAAGAAACUAUGCUAGGUCUGAAGAAGCUGCCAAAGGAGUACAACAUCUAUGUUCAUAAUGCAUAAGCAGUCCAAUGAAUAAACAGUGAAAUAUAUUCCAUGUUGUCAGAGAAUAUCUUUAAAUGAUAUGAAGAUUUACUGGAAGAAGACAUGUAACAUGACAAGAGGGAAUAGAAUCUGGGGAACACUUAAUAGAAAAAGGCUAAUGAACAGUCAAUAGAAUUUCUACUAGCAGAAAUGGAGAGUGUGGAGUUAGUGCUAUUGACAGAGUUAUCAAUGUGAGCAAAACCAAACACCAAAAGUGGACCAUGUCCAUUGUCUUUGGGGAGAACAGUAGAAACUUCAGGGAGGUUGUGAUACAGGCACCACCUGGAGAUGGUACAACAGAACAAUGUCUUACUUUUACAUUGUACCCUACAUUUAUAAUCUCAAUAGAUCUCCAAAAGAACACUAUGAAAGAAAUAGGGAAGCUUUAGCAGUUAUCUUCAUUUUACUGAAAUGUAGAGUGUAUAAAUAAUUUUUCCAAGAACACACAACUGGCAAAUGAUUGAUCCACAAUUAAAAUACAGAUUGCAAGUUUCCACUGCUUCACUGAGUCACAAAUUUCAAUCAUUCAGAAUCCAUCUUUAUGGUUUCACUACAUCUGGAUAUCACUUUACUAUCAUACACUUAACGUUUAUCUUUUAAUUGACUAAUUCUUUU